GGUGCGUGCAGGGAGGCUGGCCACGGUGUGUUCAUUUUCUUCACGAUGAGUAUUACAUGGCCAGUCUCCGUGUGGCACC
rnacentral:pre_miRNA from 12 species